rnacentral:rRNA from 1 species
CCUACGGGUGGCAGCAGUGAGGAAUAUUGGUCAAUGGACGGAAGUCUGAACCAGCCAUGCCGCGUGCAGGAAGACGGCUCUAUGAGUUGUAAACUGCUUUUGUAUAAGGGUAAACCUGAAUACGUGUAUUCAGCUGAAAGUACUGUACGUAUAAGGAUCGGCUAACUCCGUGCCAGCAGCCGCGGUAAUACGGAGGAUCCAAGCGUUAUCCGGAUUUAUUGGGUUUAAAGGGUGCGUAGGCGGAUUGAUAAGUUAGAGGUGAAAUGUUCGGGCUUAACUCGGGAACUGCCUCUAAUACUGUUGGUCUAGAGAGUAGAUGCGGUAGGCGGAAUGUAUGGUGUAGCGGUGAAAUGCUUAGAGAUCAUACAGAACACCGAUUGCGAAGGCAGCUUACCAAUCUAUAUCUGACGUUGAGGCACGAAAGCGUGGGGAGCAAACAGGAUUAGAUACCCUUGUAGUC